CCUACGGGAGGCAGCAGUGGGGAAUCUUAGACAAUGGGGGAAACCCUGAUCUAGCCAUGCCGCGUGAGCGAUGAAGGCCUUAGGGUUGUAAAGCUCUUUCAGUGGGGAAGAUAAUGACGGUACCCGCAGAAGAAGCCCCGGCUAACUCCGUGCCAGCAGCCGCGGUAAU
rnacentral:rRNA from 1 species